rnacentral:rRNA from 1 species
GACGAACGCUGGCGGCGUGCUUAACACAUGCAAGUCGAACGGAAAGGCCCUGCUUUUGUGGGGUGCUCGAGUGGCGAACGGGUGAGUAACACGUGAGUAACCUGCCCUUGACUUCGGGAUAACUUCAGGAAACUGGGGCUAAUACCGGAUAGGAGCUCCUGCUGCAUGGUGGGGGUUGGAAAGUUUCGGCGGUUGGGGAUGGACUCGCGGCUUAUCAGCUUGUUGGUGGGGUAGUGGCUUACCAAGGCUUUGACGGGUAGCCGGCCUGAGAGGGUGACCGGCCACAUUGGGACUGAGAUACGGCCCAGACGCCUACGGGAGGCAGCAGUGGGGAAUAUUGCACAAUGGGCGGAAGCCUGAUGCAGCAACGCCGCGUGCGGGAUGACGGCCUUCGGGUUGCAAACCGCUUUCGCCUGUGACGAAGCGUGAGUGACGGUAAUGGGUAAAGAAGCACCGGCUAACUACGUG